AACCUUGCGCAGUGGCAAUAUCGUAAUCAAUGAAGUUCUACUGAGAUGCGAUUAUUGCUAGUUGAUAUCAACUAUAGUCAGUCGGUUUGUCUAUUCGUUAAACCCCUAAAUUUCAACUGAUGAUUUGAGGUUAUUCGACC